AACGAACGCUGGCGGCAUGCCUAACACAUGCAAGUCGAACGAGACCUUCGGGUCUAGUGGCGCACGGGUGCGUAACGCGUGGGAAUCUGCCCUUGGGUUCGGAAUAACUUCGGGAAACUGAAGCUAAUACCGGAUGAUGACGUAAGUCCAAAGAUUUAUCGCCCAAGGAUGAGCCCGCGUAGGAUUAGCUAGUUGGUGAGGUAAAGGCUCACCAAGGCGACGAUCCUUAGCUGGUCUGAGAGGAUGAUCAGCCACACUGGGACUGAGACACGGCCCAGACUCCUACGGGAGGCAGCAGUGGGGAAUAUUGGACAAUGGGCGAAAGCCUGAUCCAGCAAUGCCGCGUGAGUGAUGAAGGCCUUAGGGUUGUAAAGCUCUUUUACCCGGGAUGAUAAUGACAGUACCGGGAGAAUAAGCUCCGGCUAACUCCGUGCCAGCAGCCGCGGUAAU
rnacentral:rRNA from 1 species